rnacentral:rRNA from 1 species
UGGGGAAUUUUGGACAAUGGGGGAAACCCUGAUCCAGCCAUCCCGCGUGUGCGAUGAAGGCCUUCGGGUUGUAAAGCACUUUUGGCAGGAAAGAAACGUCAUGGGUUAAUACCCCGUGAAACUGACGGUACCUGCAGAAUAAGCACCGGCUAACUACGUGCCAGCAGCCGCGGUAAUACGUAGGGUGCAAGCGUUAAUCGGAAUUACUGGGCGUAAAGCGUGCGCAGUCGGUUCGGAAAGAAAGAUGUGAAAUCCCAGAGCUCAACUUUGGAACUGCAUUUUUAACUACCGGGCUAGAGUGUGUCAGAGGGAGGUGGAAUUCCGCGUGUAGCGGUGAAAUGCGUAGAUAUGCGGAGGAACACCGAUGGCGAAGGCAGCCUCCUGGGAUAACACUGACGCUCAUGCACGAAAGCGUGGGGAGCAAACAGG